CGGAGGUUGGUUUUCUUGGAUAUGGGGUGAUGCUGCAGUUGAAUCGGCAUUGUACAUGAAUAUUUGCAGUACGGAAGGACUAGAGAGGUUUAUUCAGCUCACUGCAUGGAACCAACGCAACUCCUAUCCACGCCGAAUGAAGGCAAUAAGGUGGUUUGGUUAGGUGACAACACAUCCUCUGAAUAACUGAUUAUGAGCUUAAUGCUCAGAUCCACCAAGAGCACCUGCAUCUCUGCACAGGUCUUGUUAUAUAUUUGACUGUUUAUUAAGGAUGUCGCUAGACGGAAUAACGGGAAAUACUGCUUCUCUGCUCCUUAGAGCCUGCCGUCUAUGUUAAUUGAUGCAGAGGCAGAGAGAGCAGUUCAGUGUACAUAGAUUGGGAAGGCCAUUCUUUUUUUAAGCUAUGGAAAGUAUGGUCUUGUGACUGUCUUUUACCCCGUGUAUUCGCUUAUGGAUGCUUUUCUUAAUGUGCGUUAUGCUUCAAGGUCUUUCCUAA